AACGAACGCUGGCGGCAGGCUUAACACAUGUAAGUCGAACGCUCGUAGCAAUACGGGAGUGGCGGACGGGUGAGUAACGCGUGGAACGUGCCCUGAGGUACGGAAUAACUGAGGGAAACUUCAGCUAAUACCGGUAUGAGCCCCGAGAGGGGGAAAGAUUUAUCGCCUUGGGAGCGGCCCGCGUCGGAUUAGCUAGUUGGUGGGUAACGGCCUACCAAGGCUUCGAUCCGUAGCUGGUCUGAGAGGACGAUCAGCCACACUGGGACUGAGACACGGCCCAGACUCCUACGGAGGCAGCAGUGGGGAAUCUUGCGCAAUGGGGGCAACCCUGACGCAGCCAUGCCGCGUGAACGAUGAAGGCCUUAGGGUUGUAAAGUUCUUUACCCGUGACGAUGAUGACGGUAACGGGGAAUAAGCUCCGGCUAACUUCGUGCCAGCAGCCGCGGU
rnacentral:rRNA from 1 species